rnacentral:rRNA from 3 species
CUUUGACCUCGGAUCAGGUAGGGAUACCCGCUGAACUUAAGCAU